UGCCAGCCGCCGCGGUAAUACCGGCAGCUCGAGUGAUCGUCGCUUCUAUUGGGCCUAAAACGUCCGUAGCCUGUUUGGUAAAUCUGUGGGUAAAUCAACCAGCUUAACUGGUUGAAUUCUGCAGAGACUGCCAAACUAAAAACCAAAAAAAAUGUGGGGUACUCUAGGGGUAGGGGUAAAAUCCUGUCAUCCUUAGAGGACCACCAGUUGCGAAGGCGCCACACUAGAACGGAUCCGACGGUCAGGGACGAAGCCUAGGGGCACGAACCGGAUUAGAUA
rnacentral:rRNA from 1 species